rnacentral:rRNA from 1 species
CCUACGGGUGGCAGCAGUGGGGGAUAUUGCACAAUGGGGGAAACCCUGAUGCAGCGACGCCGCGUGUGGGAAGACGGUCCUCUGGAUUGUAAACCACUGUCCCCAGGGACGAAGAUGACGGUACCUGGGGAGGAAGCUCCGGCUAACUACGUGCCAGCAGCCGCGGUAAUACGUAGGGAGCGAGCGUUGUCCGGAAUUACUGGGUGUAGAGGGAGCGUAGGCGGGACUGCAAGUUGGGUGUCAAAUCUACCGGCUCAACCGGUAGCCGCACUCAAAACUGCAGUUCUUGAGUGAAGUAGAGGCAGGCGGAAUUCCUAGUGUAGCGGUGAAAUGCGUAGAUAUUAGGAGGAACACCAGUGGCGAAGGCGGCCUGCUGGGCUUUUACUGACGCUGAGGCUCGAAAGUGUGGGUAGCAAACAGGAUUAGAUACCCGGGUAGUC